rnacentral:rRNA from 1 species
UACGGAGGGGGCUAGCGUUGUUCGGAAUUACUGGGCGUAAAGCGCACGUAGGCGGCUUUGCAAGUUAGAGGUGAAAGCCCGGGGCUCAACUCCGGAAUUGCCUUUAAAACUGCAUCGCUAGAAUUGUGGAGAGGUAAGUGGAAUUCCGAGUGUAGAGGUGAAAUUCGUAGAUAUUCGGAAGAACACCAGUGGCGAAGGACGCGA